AGAACUUGCUCAGGUGGGGGCCCAUCAGGCUUGAUUUGCACCUGGUUGAAGCUCUUGCUGUUGUAGCCCACCCACCCCAUCCCACGCUAACCACCAUGUCAGGCAGGACGAUCAUGACCCACACGUGCAUCUUGACCACCUCAGGCUUCUCACGGGAGGCGCCUGGGUUUCGGCCUCACGCAGCCGCGUUGGCCCAGAGCAGGCUUCCUGCAAAGGUCUCUUCCGCCCGCCGCGCUGUCCCCGCUGCUUGCGCUGCUGGUGGGAUGUUUUUAAGCAGGUGAUCGAGGUCCACGCCAAGGGCUUCAGCUGUUUAGUGGUACUCAUUAGCAUCUUCAAUACUCUGCCUCCUGGUCACAGUGAUGUUCUAAAAAGACAGAAGUCUCUUUCCAAGGAUUCAUCUCCUGAGACUUCUUGGGAAGAGAGAGAACCAGUUCCUCUCGAGUAUGGGACCCCCCAACACCCUAUCUGCUUACAAAUAAUGCCCAUUUGAGAAAGAAACAGCUACCAAGUGGGGCAAGCAACUUGGCUGUAUUCCAAGCCCUGGUUCCACCUGUUCCAAGCUCCCUAGGCUUCUACCUGUACAUUUUUGUCUGGAUGACUGACAAGUGCAACAUUCAGGGACACAGUUAAAUAAACGAAGAAGUGAGGCUAGAACACAAAUGCCUCAUGACUCCUGUGCUCAUCCUGUCCUUCCUGAUCUCUACUCUGCCAACUUUCCUGAUGGCGUCUGCAAACAUGAUGCCCUGAGUUGAACAGUAUCAUGUAUUAGAGCCCACGAAUGGAAUGUAGCUCUGCACCAGCAACUGACAGCUACAACUUUUCCAGGUGAGGAUGUCAAUGAGGAGCACCACUCAAGAGACUCAGAUUCAUCUCUGCUUGGCCACUAAGAUUUAGAGUGACUUUCAGCUAAGUAAGCAGUUUGCUUUUAUAAUUCUCACUCUGCAAAUAUACUUUUUUGUCUCCAUUUUUAGAGGUGUAACUUAUCUCUUCUCAGGUAGUAUGUGAAUUAAUGUAAUGCUUGGUGUAUGUGCUGAGGAGACUUUGAAAAAGAGGACAAUGAAUUCACAUCUGUAAUGGUAACCACUAUACUCAAAUGCUGUAUAGAAGAGCAAUUACUAUAAAUCAAUAGGGAUGCAAGUGUGGAACAGGAAAAAAAACCUUGGAAUUUAUAGUGAGCUCUUAUAAACUUUUAAGCAAGAUACCAACAAGAAAGAUCUCUUACAACUUGAAGAGUACCCUU